rnacentral:rRNA from 1 species
CCUACGGGCGGCAGCAGUGAGGAAUAUUGGUCAAUGGGCGCGAGCCUGAACCAGCCAAGUCGCGUGAGGGAAGACGGUCCUAUGGAUUGUAAACCUCUUUUGUCGGGGAGCAAAAGACGCCACGCGUGGCGUUCCGAGAGUACCCGAAGAAAAAGCAUCGGCUAACUCCGUGCCAGCAGCCGCGGUAAUACGGAGGAUGCGAGCGUUAUCCGGAUUUAUUGGGUUUAAAGGGUGCGCAGGCGGAAGAUCAAGUCUGCGGUAAAAUUGAGAGGCUCAACCUCUUCGAGCCGUUGAAACUGGUGUUCUUGAGUGAGCGAGAAGUAUGCGGAAUGCGUGGUGUAGCGGUGAAAUGCAUAGAUAUCACGCAGAACUCCGAUUGCGAAGGCAGCAUACCGGCGCUCAACUGACGCUCAUGCACGAAAGUGUGGGUAUCGAACACGAUUAGAUACCCUGGUAGUC